AACAAAUCUACUCCUCUCCUUCAUCCUACGUAAAACCAAACCCUCCUUCAAGAAAAAGCAGUAAACCUCCCCUUGCUUCCUUUGUCAGCCGCCGCACCGCCCUACAACCACCGCUGUGUUGGUGCGCCACCAUCCUCCUCCGUCGCCACCGUGCUGCCACCUGCGUCACCGCCGUCGCUGCUGCCCCUGCUCAGCCUACGCCAUCUUCCUUCUCCUUUCUCCUCCACGCACACAAGCCACCUCCCCUCUUCUUUGCUUCGUGCUUCAAGGUCGCACCCACCACCAUAGCGCAACCACCACCCUGCGCCACCAGCGUCAUCCAACCUCCGCGACCGACCGUCCCGCUGUCGCGCCGCCCUCCCACCGGCCAGCACUCAUUUCCUCCCCUUUUUGUUAUUUCUUAAACCCUAAACUAAGUAAUGAAUUUAAUGAAGUUUUAAUAAUUUAAAUUAUGUUCUUGAAUUUAAAUUAUACGUUUUUAUGAUUUAGGUAGAAUUUUCGGAUUAUAUAUUAUGUUUAAAUAAUAAAUUUAAUUUUCAGAUUAUGUAAUUUGCAUUGAAAUAAUGAUUUUAAUUAUUUAAAGAAUGAAUUUUAAGGUUUUAAUAGUUUUGAAAUCAUGGUAGGAUGAUUAUAAGUUAUUAAAGUUAUUGUUUUUAUGA